rnacentral:rRNA from 1 species
GGGUUGUGAGGUUAAGCGACUAAGCGUACACGGUGGAUGCCCUGGCAGUCAGAGGCGAUGAAGGACGUGCUAAUCUGCGAUAAGCGUCGGUAAGGUGAUAUGAACCGUUAUAACCGGCGAUUUCCGAAUGGGGAAACCCAGUGUGUUUCGACACACUAUCAUUAACUGAAUCCAUAGGUUAAUGAGGCGAACCGGGGGAACUGAAACAUCUAAGUACCCCGAGGAAAAGAAAUCAACCGAGAUUCCCCCAGUAGCGGCGAGCGAACGGGGAGCAGCCCAGAGCCUGAAUCAGUGUGUGUGUUAGUGGAAGCGUCUGGAAAGGCGCGCGAUACAGGGUGACAGCCCCGUACACAAAAAUGCACAUGCUGUGAGCUCGAUGAGUAGGGCGGGACACGUGGUAUCCUGUCUGAAUAUGGGGGGACCAUCCUCCAAGGCUAAAUACUCCUGACUGACCGAUAGUGAACCAGUACCGUGAGGGAAAGGCGAAAAGAACCCCGGCGAGGGGAGUGAAAAAGAACCUGAAACCGUGUACGUACAAGCAGUGGGAGCACGCUUAGGCGUGUGACUGCGUACCUUUUGUAUAAUGGGUCAGCGACUUAUAUUCUGUAGCAAGGUUAACCGAAUAGGGGAGCCGAAGGGAAACCGAGUCUUAACUGGGCGUUAAGUUGCAGGGUAUAGACCCGAAACCCGGUGAUCUAGCCAUGGGCAGGUUGAAGGUUGGGUAACACUAACUGGAGGACCGAACCGACUAAUGUUGAAAAAUUAGCGGAUGACUUGUGGCUGGGGGUGAAAGGCCAAUCAAACCGGGAGAUAGCUGGUUCUCCCCGAAAGCUAUUUAGGUAGCGCCUCGUGAAUUCAUCUCCGGGGGUAGAGCACUGUUUCGGCAAGGGGGUCAUCCCGCUUACCAACCCGAUGCAAACUGCGAAUACCGGAGAAUGUUAUCACGGGAGACACACGGCGGGUGCUAACGUCCGUCGUGAAGAGGGAAACAACCCAGACCGCCAGCUAAGGUCCCAAAGUCAUGGUUAAGUGGGAAACGAUGUGGGAAGGCCCAGACAGCCAGGAUGUUGGCUUAGAAGCAGCCAUCAUUUAAAGAAAGCGUAAUAGCUCACUGGUCGAGUCGGCCUGCGCGGAAGAUGUAACGGGGCUAAACCAUGCACCGAAGCUGCGGCAGCGACGCUUAUGCGUUGUUGGGUAGGGGAGCGUUCUGUAAGCCUGUGAAGGUGUGCUGUGAGGCAUGCUGGAGGUAUCAGAAGUGCGAAUGCUGACAUAAGUAACGAUAAAGCGGGUGAAAAGCCCGCUCGCCGGAAGACCAAGGGUUCCUGUCCAACGUUAAUCGGGGCAGGGUGAGUCGACCCCUAAGGCGAGGCCGAAAGGCGUAGUCGAUGGGAAACAGGUUAAUAUUCCUGUACUUGGUGUUACUGCGAAGGGGGGACGGAGAAGGCUAUGUUGGCCGGGCGACGGUUGUCCCGGUUUAAGCGUGUAGGCUGGUUUUCCAGGCAAAUCCGGAAAAUCAAGGCUGAGGCGUGAUGACGAGGCACUACGGUGCUGAAGCAACAAAUGCCCUGCUUCCAGGAAAAGCCUCUAAGCAUCAGGUAACAUCAAAUCGUACCCCAAACCGACACAGGUGGUCAGGUAGAGAAUACCAAGGCGCUUGAGAGAACUCGGGUGAAGGAACUAGGCAAAAUGGUGCCGUAACUUCGGGAGAAGGCACGCUGAUAUGUAGGUGAAGUCCCUCGCGGAUGGAGCUGAAAUCAGUCGAAGAUACCAGCUGGCUGCAACUGUUUAUUAAAAACACAGCACUGUGCAAACACGAAAGUGGACGUAUACGGUGUGACGCCUGCCCGGUGCCGGAAGGUUAAUUGAUGGGGUCAGCGCAAGCGAAGCUCUUGAUCGAAGCCCCGGUAAACGGCGGCCGUAACUAUAACGGUCCUAAGGUAGCGAAAUUCCUUGUCGGGUAAGUUCCGACCUGCACGAAUGGCGUAAUGAUGGCCAGGCUGUCUCCACCCGAGACUCAGUGAAAUUGAACUCGCUGUGAAGAUGCAGUGUACCCGCGGCAAGACGGAAAGACCCCGUGAACCUUUACUAUAGCUUGACACUGAACAUUGAGCCUUGAUGUGUAGGAUAGGUGGGAGGCUUAGAAGUGUGGACGCCAGUCUGCAUGGAGCCGACCUUGAAAUACCACCCUUUAAUGUUUGAUGUUCUAACGUUGACCCGUAAUCCGGGUUGCGGACAGUGUCUGGUGGGUAGUUUGACUGGGGCGGUCUCCUCCUAAAGAGUAACGGAGGAGCACGAAGGUUGGCUAAUCCUGGUCGGACAUCAGGAGGUUAGUGCAAUGGCAUAAGCCAGCUUGACUGCGAGCGUGACGGCGCGAGCAGGUGCGAAAGCAGGUCAUAGUGAUCCGGUGGUUCUGAAUGGAAGGGCCAUCGCUCAACGGAUAAAAGGUACUCCGGGGAUAACAGGCUGAUACCGCCCAAGAGUUCAUAUCGACGGCGGUGUUUGGCACCUCGAUGUCGGCUCAUCACAUCCUGGGGCUGAAGUAGGUCCCAAGGGUAUGGCUGUUCGCCAUUUAAAGUGGUACGCGAGCUGGGUUUAGAACGUCGUGAGACAGUUCGGUCCCUAUCUGCCGUGGGCGCUGGAGAACUGAGGGGGGCUGCUCCUAGUACGAGAGGACCGGAGUGGACGCAUCACUGGUGUUCGGGUUGUCAUGCCAAUGGCACUGCCCGGUAGCUAAAUGCGGAAGAGAUAAGUGCUGAAAGCAUCUAAGCACGAAACUUGCCCCGAGAUGAGUUCUCCCUGACCCUUUAAGGGUCCUGAAGGAACGUUGAAGACGACGACGUUGAUAGGCCGGGUGUGUAAGCGCAGCGAUGCGUUGAGCUAACCGGUACUAAUGAACCGUGAGGCUUAACCUUACAACGCCGAAGCUGUU